rnacentral:rRNA from 1 species
GACGAACGCUGGCGGCGUGCCUAAUACAUGCAAGUAGAACGCUGAAGAGAGGAGCUUGCUCUUCUUGGAUGAGUUGCGAACGGGUGAGUAACGCGUAGGUAACCUGCCUUGUAGCGGGGGAUAACUAUUGGAAACGAUAGCUAAUACCGCAUAACAAUGGAUGACCCAUGUCAUUUAUUUGAAAGGGGCAAAUGCUCCACUACAAGAUGGACCUGCGUUGUAUUAGCUAGUAGGUGAGGUAACGGCUCACCUAGGCGACGAUACAUAGCCGACCUGAGAGGGGGAUAGGCCACACUGGGACUGAGACACGGCCCAGACUCCUACAGGAGGCAGCAGUAGGGAAUCUUCGGCAAUGGGGGCAACCCUGACCGAGCAAAGCAGCGUGAGUGAAGAAGGUUUUCGGAUAGUAAAGAUCUGUUGUAAGUCAAGAACGAGUGUGAGAGUGGAAAGUGCACACUGUGACGGUAGCUGACCAGAAAGGGACGGCUAACUACGUG